rnacentral:rRNA from 1 species
UACGGGGGGAGCAAGCGUUGUUCGGAUUUACUGGGCGUAAAGGGCGCGUAGGCGGCGUGACUAGUCACUUGUGAAAUCUCCGGGCUUAACUCGGAAAGGUCAAGUGAUACUGUCGUGCUAGAGUACAGAAGGGGCAACUGGAAUUCUCGGUGUAGCGGUGAAAUGCGUAGAUAUCGAGAGGAACACCUGCGGCGAAGGCGGGUUGCUGGGCUGAUACUGACGCUGAUGCGCGAAAGCCAGGGGAGCGAACGGG